UGAGGAAUAUUGGUCAAUGGGCGCAAGCCUGAACCAGCCAUCCCGCGUGAAGGAUGAAUGUCUUAUGGAUUGUAAACUUCUUUUCUGUGCAAAGAAUAUGCCUUACGUGUAGGGUAUUGAUGGUAGUACAGGAAUAAGCACCGGCUAACUCCGUGCCAGCAGCCGCGGUAAUACGGAGGGUGCAAGCGUUAUCCGGAUUUAUUGGGUUUAAAGGGUGCGUAGGUGGAAUGAUAAGUCAGUGGUGAAAUCCUGCAGCUUAGCUGUAGAACUGCCAUUGAUACUGUUGUUCUUGAGUGCAGAAGAGGUAGGCUGAAUGAGUAGUGUAGCGGUGAAGUGCUUAGAUAUUACUCAGAACACCGAUUGCGAAGGCAGCUUACUAAACUGUAACUGACACUGAUGCACGAAAGCGUGGGGAUCGAACA
rnacentral:rRNA from 1 species